rfam:Schistosoma curassoni strain Dakar, Senegal genome assembly, scaffold: SCTD_scaffold0000703
AUUCAGAUGACGAGUCCCAAGCAGAACGAAACGCGCGUCCUGGAU